UACGUAGGGGGCAAGCGUUGUCCGGAUUUAUUGGGCGUAAAGAGCGUGUAGGCGGCCUGACAGGUCUGCUGUGAAAACUCGAAGCUCAACCUCGAGAUGUCGGCGGAAACCGUCUGGCUAGAGUCCGGAAGAGGAGAGUGGAAUUCCUGGUGUAGCGGUGAAAUGCGCAGAUAUCAGGAAGAACACCUAUGGCGAAGGCAGCUCUCUGGGACGGUACUGACGCUGAGACGCGAAAGCGUGGGGAGCGAACAGG
rnacentral:rRNA from 1 species